rnacentral:rRNA from 1 species
AGCAGUAGCCGCGGGAAAACCAGCACCUCGAGUGGUCAGGAGGUUUAUUGGGCCUAAAGCAUCCGUAGCCGGUCGCAUAAGUUUUCGGUUAAAUCUAUGCGCUUAACGUAUAGGCCGCCGAAAAUACUGUGCAGCUAGGGAGUGGGAGAGGUACACGGUACUCGAUAGGAAGGGGUAAAAUCCUUUGAUCUAUUGAUGACCACCUGUGGCGAAGGCGGUGUACCAGAACACGUUCGACGCUGAGGCACGAAAGCGUGGGGAGCAAACAGGAUUAGAUACCCCUGUAGUCCCUGUCUCUUAUAC